CCAAACAAAACGACUUGACUCGCCUUAAGCAUUAAAAUGACCUUUGGAGUCGUUUAUAAGUUUGCCUGGAAUGUUUCCUUCACAUUAUGGCAGAACAAUUCGAUGUUAUCAUGCAAGCAAUGGCAUUGAUAUUCGGGAAAUUUUAUUAUACGACAGCUAAAUUUCGAAUACGGAGUUUACAACUUAGUGUCGAUUACGCCAGGAAGUUAUUCCUCGAUGUUCAAUGGAUCAAACCCUUCGUAAAGAGUUGCAAACAAAUAAGAAACAUUUCUGGCUCUUCAAUAAACUCAAAUUGUCUGAAUGUUGUUAACAAGGCACAUGAAUCUUUGCACACCGUGGUAACAAGUGGUACAAUGCAAUGCAAAAACAUUACCAUUAACAACCGGGAUUUUAAUUAAGGAUUAAAUAUCAUUAAAGGUCCUCAAUGACCAAGGACAAUCGUUUAAAACACACCGCAAGCCAACCCACCAAUUGCAGCGACAGCCACCAGACGAUUCAAUAAGCCAAAUCGAUUUUUAAUAAAAAAAAAAAAUUAAAAUAUCUGGGUGUAGUACUCACUGCAGAAUAGCUGGUGGACAAAACCAAUUUCCCAAGAGCUUAAACAUUUUCAAUGAAAUGACGGUACCAAUGGACUCUUACCCAAAUGGUACAUUAUCAGAUGGAUCCUGCAUUGAGUGAAACAUAAGUGAAUAAAAGAUUCCUGGACGGCUGCCAGACGCAAUAGUAACAUGUAUUUUAGACGGCUUGUUUAACAAGGAAACACAAACAAAUUAGUGUGUAUAAUGGGUGUGGAGGUCACCGUGGCACAUAGGUUAGCAUAUCCGCUAUGGCGCUGAACGCCUAGAUUUAAAUCCCGGUGUGAAAACCAGGCAUACAUCCUUUUGUAAGGCAUACAACCAUAAGGCAUAAGCGAGACGCCGUUCGGACUUGGCUAUAAAAAGAAGCCCCAUAUAGCUAAAACUUGAAUGGGACUGCACUCAUUGGCAUGAGAAAAGCAUCCCUGUUCCUUACGUGUAUACGGGGUAUGCAUGGUGGCAGGCGAAAACAACAUACAAAACAGCAGCACUUAGCCCAAGCUUCAACAUAGCCCUGGCUACACAGCACAAUAUAACUGCCACACAUAAACAGGCUCACAAUCACAGCUAGGCGCAUGUAGAGUAGCUCAGAAAAUGUCAGUUAAAUGGACUAUUUCCUAUAAAAAAAAUAUUGCAUUUACCCCCGUUCUACUGCUUCAGAGGUCCAGGACCUCACUUAACCCCAGGAAUAAAAAAAUCACAAUUCUACUCUGAUAUUAGCAAACCACAGUUCACUCACAUUUAUUAAAAUUUCAACAACAUACUACAAUAAUAAAACAAUUAUGAUAAUGCCAAA
rnacentral:sRNA from 1 species